rnacentral:tRNA from 1 species
UAGAUUGAUGCUCGCUGGUUGGAGCGCUUGGCUGUUAACUGAGAGUUUGAAGGAUCGAGGCCUUCCUGUCUAG